rnacentral:rRNA from 1 species
UUUGAUCCUGGCUCAGAAUCAACGCUGGCGGCGUGCCUAACACAUGCAAGUCGAGCGCGAAAGGGGGGCAACUCCCAAGUAGAGCGGCGAACGGGUGAGUAACGCGUGGGUGAUCUACCUUCGAGUGGGGAACAACACCGGGAAACUGGUGCUAAUGCCGCAUGACAUCCUCGAGUCACAUCGGGGAUCAAAGCCGGGGACCGCAAGGCCUGGCGCUUGAAGAGGAGCCCGCGUCCGAUUAGCUAGUUGGCGGGGUAAUGGCCCACCAAGGCUCCGAUCGGUAGCCGGCCUGAGAGGGCGGACGGCCACACUGGGACUGAGACACGGCCCAGACUCCUACGGGAGGCAGCAGUGGGGAAUUUUUCGCAAUGGGGGAAACCCUGACGAAGCAACGCCGCGUGGAGGAUGAAGGCCUUCGGGUCGUAAACUCCUGUCGACCGGGACGAAAGUAGUCCGACCCAAUACGUCGGGCUAUCGACUGUACCGGUGGAGGAAGCCACGGCUAACUCUGUGCCAGCAGCCGCGGUAGUACAGAGGUGGCAAGCGUUGUUCGGAAUUACUGGGCGUAAAGGGCGCGUAGGCGGCUUUUCAAGUCCCGUGUGAAAUCCCUCGGCUCAACUGAGGAAUUGCACGGGAAACUGUCUGGCUUGAGUUCGGGAGAGGGAAGCGGAAUUCCGGGUGUAGCGGUGAAAUGCGUAGAUAUCCGGAGGAACACCGGUGGCGAAGGCGGCUUCCUGGACCGAUACUGACGCUGAGGCGCGAAAGCUAGGGGAGCAAACGGGAUUAGAUACCCCGGUAGUCCUAGCUGUAAACGAUGAGUGCUGGGUGUAGGGGGGUAUUAACCCCCCCCUGUGCCGAAGCUAACGCAUUAAGCACUCCGCCUGGGGAGUACGGUCGCAAGGCUGAAACUCAAGGAAUUUGACGGGGGCYCCGCACCAGCGGUGGAGCAUGUGG